GAUCCUGGCUUAGGAUGAACGCUAGCUACAGGCUUAACACAUGCAAGUCGAGGGGCAGCAUAACGAAGCUUGCUUUGUGAUGGCGACCGGCGCACGGGUGAGUAACGCGUAUCCAACCUUCCCCAUAGUAGAGGAUAGCCCGGCGAAAGUCGGAUUAAUACUCUAUGUUGUAUUUUGAGGACAUCUGACGAAUACCAAAGAUUGAUCGCUAUGGGAUGGGGAUGCGUCUGAUUAGCUUGUUGGCGGGGUAACGGCCCACCAAGGCGACGAUCAGUAGGGGUUCUGAGAGGAAGGUCCCCCACAUUGGUACUGAGACACGGACCAAACUCCUACGGGAGGCAGCAGUGAGGAAUAUUGGUCAAUGGACGAGAGUCUGAACCAGCCAAGUAGCGUGCAGGGUGACUGCCCUAUGGGUUGUAAACUGCUUUUAUGCGGGAAUAAAGUCAGGUACGCGUACCUGUUUGUAUGUACCGCAUGAAUAAGGACCGGCUAAUUCCGUGCCAGCAGCAGC
rnacentral:rRNA from 1 species